UCCGAUUCAUCGCCUCUCUUCGACGAUCUGAGCGGUGGCGACGAUCUCCUCUUCAGCGAUUCGCGAUCUCAGACUAAGCCCUCUGAUUUUGACUACGAUGCGAUGUUCAAGGAUCCCAAACCUGUGUACGACAAGCCUGUGUACGACGAGGAGGACGUCUUCGAAUCGCUUAAAACCCCGCCGGGCUCUCAAUCGGCUAGGUUUGAUGACCUUUUCUCCUCGCAUUCGGUGCACAGGAAGAACAACUCCUCUCCUUUCGAUGACCUGAUUGGGAAUCUGAGCAAGCCGGAGAGUGAACGAGAUGAGAAAGGUAGCUCGGCUUUUGAUGACUUGAUUCCUGGGUUUGGUCGCGCUAGCUCCCCUCCAGCUAAACGGUAGCGUUUCGUUCCUCUUCUUUUAUGUGCUUGUCUAGAGCUAUUUGCUACUGAGAUUCUCCAGUGAAUUGUAGCUUUAACCUACUUGGAGCGAACUUGCAGAUAUCGUAGAAAAUUUUACUAAAGGUUGAACCUUUUGAAUUUUUGAUAGUAAAAGUAGUCAUUCAUAUUGUUUUUCUUUUUUUUGCUCAGGCCAACUUCAGAAACGAGUCAUUCUCAGAAGCCUCCGUAUAGGACAUCUUCCAAUCUUGCAGAAGAUCCAUUUGUGGUCUUGGAGACUGCUUCUACCCCUAGAGAACCUCCUCCCUCAGGAGGGUACACUGAUCCUUUGGAUGAUAUUGGUCUUUUCAACAGCAGAAAGACUGAUCAUUCUUUUGCUGAUAUUGACCCUCUCGAUAGUCUUGGAAAAUCAGGGCCAGAUAUGAGUAGUAGAGACAAAAGUCACCUGAGACCAGGCAACGGCAGUGGCUCUCAGUCACCGGUGGAGAGUUCCCACACUGGGAGUUACCAUGGUAAGAAAGUUUCUUUCGAUGAAGUCUUGGAGCCGCAGAGUACUUCUGUUCCUCAUGCUACUGCUCCACUGUAUGAAAACAAAUCACUCAAUUCAGAUGGAAGUUUUGACUUAUCUGAUGAUGUCUGGCUUACUGUGUCUGAGAUCCCUCUAUUUACGCAGCCUACGAGUGCUCCCCCACCUUCCAGACCUCCACCGCCCAGACCUACACGUCCCAUGAAAAGAAGGGAAGGAGAGAGAGUUAUUUUCGAUUUCUAAUAUUGGAGAGAGACCCACCCAUCAUACUCAGAUCUGACGACGAUAAUCUGUUGGAUCUGCGAUUUGGGGGUGUGAAAAAUCCAAUUCCAAGUAAUCGAUGGACGAUUUCUCAGGCCUUUUAGGUUUGAAGCCGCAGGGAAAAUCAGCUCCGAUGGCGCCGUCUUCGUCGUCCCCAGCAAGGAACAAGUCCGAUUCAUCGCCUCUCUUCGACGAUCUGAGCGGUGGCGACGAUCUCCUCUUCAGCGAUUCGCGAUCUCAGACUAAGCCCUCUGAUUUUGACUACGAUGCGAUGUUCAAGGAUCCCAAACCUGUGUACGACAAGCCUGUGUACGACGAGGAGGACGUCUUCGAAUCGCUUAAAACCCCGCCGGGCUCUCAAUCGGCUAGGUUUGAUGACCUUUUCUCCUCGCAUUCGGUGCACAGGAAGAACAACUCCUCUCCUUUCGAUGACCUGAUUGGGAAUCUGAGCAAGCCGGAG
rnacentral:lncRNA from 1 species